rnacentral:lncRNA from 1 species
UUUGUGAAGCAACGCUACAAUAUUAAUUAUUCCCGACCCAUCUUCUCUUUUCUCCCCAAUUCUUCUUCUUUUUUGGUCGAAUUCUUCUCGAUCCACUCAACCUAGCUGAUCUCUUUCAUCAAAGGGCUUUGAUCCUUGAGCCACUUUCAUCUCAACAAUCGAAACGAAUUCAAUUAAAGAAUCUUGGUAGCCAUGGGGCAAAUGUUUCGAAAGCUGUUCGAUGCAUUCUUCGGCAAUAGCGAGAUGAGGUGGAAGCAAUCUCAUGUGCAGAGCUUUGAUGAAGCUGGGAUAUAAUGUGAUGGGAAAGUUACAGCUGAAAACUACUUACUAAUAAAACCACUACCAUAAGGGUAUGGUCAUGAC